GUGGUAUUUAAAGUUUGCCCUUUAAUAGGGACAGUUUGGUCACGGGUUUAAACUGUCACUCAGUAAAAAUUUAAACUUUUUUUACAAUGUAAAAAUUGUAAAAAAAAAUAAAAUUUCUGCUUUAAAGCAGAUCUUGCAAGGGGCAGAAUUUAUAAAUAUUACCCUUUCUGUCUCAAGAUAGAGUUAUAACUCUGCUUUUUGUCUGAACUUAUGUCUUACGAAAAAAAUUAACUCUGCUUUUUGUCUGAACUUAUGUCUUACGAAAAAAAUUAUUUUCGCUUGAGUGGACGUUUAAAUCCGUCACCAAGCGAUCCUAGCGAACGAAAAACUUUAAAUACCACCAUUUUAAAGGACAAAACUUAGAGACCACCCCGUAAUAAGAGCAUUCCUGCUAAUUGACCUUAUUACUGAGAGAAUCUUUGGUAUGCCCAUAUACCACAAGAAGCUCCGAUUUGGUUGAGGAUGCUGCGAUUGGCCGGUGUUCUUGCUAGGUAUUCUAGCUUACAAGUUUGUUCCUCUUUUAAUUUUCUAUGCAGGACGGUUUUUGGAUCAAGAGACCAAUUCAAAGGUGCAUUUGUCAAUGAUGAUCAAAGUGGAGAAGAGUUAUGGUCCUGAUUUGUGUUUCAUACAUAGAUUUGUCUGCUAUCCGUACGUGCAAUGAAGAAGUAUCUACACUGGUUUUUACGUUCUGUUGUGGUCGCUCUCUAUUCGUGUGGUUGUGUAGUCUUCCAAUUAACAGGUUAAAAAUGGUACUCAGAAUGUGAAACUUUUUGGUGCUUCAUCAACCAUUCCAAACAUUAUCAUGUUCAAAUAUUUAACUGUGAUUCUUUUUUUAUUGUUUUCAAUUUGAUCUUUAUUUUUUUGGGUGGAUAUGUUUUCUUUUGUUGGGAUACCCUUUUUACCUAAUUAGGUUUUGUUCUGUUGAAGGCAAUAUCAAUGUGUUAUUUGACCUUUUGCUGCUGUAGUUGGGUCGAGUAGAAUGUCCUUUCCAUUCUAUAUGGCUGCUUUAUGUUUUCUCAAGAAAUUAUGUUA